UACAGAGGGUGCGAGCGUUAAUCGGAAUUACUGGGCGUAAAGGGUGCGUAGGCGGUUCGUUAAGUCUGUUGUGAAAUCCCCGGGCUCAACCUGGGAAUGGCAAUGGAUACUGGCGGGCUAGAGUGUGUCAGAGGAUGGUGGAAUUCCCGGUGUAGCGGUGAAAUGCGUAGAGAUCGGGAGGAACAUCAGUGGCGAAGGCGGCCAUCUGGGACAACACUGACGCUGAAGCACGAAAGCGUGGGGAGCAAACAGG
rnacentral:rRNA from 1 species